GGGGGCGUAUUUGGUUUCGACGGGGAUCGUGGAGUUUGAAGAAGCGAGCGGCAGCCCCGAACUGCCUUAAAAUCGGGAAAAACAAUAACUGCGAACAAUAACAGUUACGCUGUAGCCGCCUAAGAGCGGUUACCGUCGGCCCUGAGCCUCCUGCGGCGCGGGUCACCGGCGUCACAAAUGCAGGGAACGGGCGCGGCAAAGCUUUGAGCCGCUCCGGCACUUAUGAAGCUACCUGAGGCUCGAUCCCGUCUGUGGGAGCCUGUCAAGGGGAAUUUUAAAUCGCAGACUGCGCUCGGAGACGCUUCAGGCAACAGGUUUUCGGACAGGGGUUCGAAACCCCUCGCCUCCACCA
rnacentral:tmRNA from 1 species